rnacentral:rRNA from 1 species
UACGUAGGGUGCGAGCGUUAAUCGGAAUUACUGGGCGUAAAGUGUGCGCAGGCCGCCGAGCAAGUCGAGUGUGAAAGCCCCGAGCUUAACUUGGGAACUGCGCUCGAAACUACUUGGCUAGAGUGUGGCAGAGGGAGGUGGAAUUCCACGUGUAGCGGUGAAAUGCGUAGAGAUGUGGAGGAACAUCAGUGGCGAAAGCGACUUCCUGGACCAGUACCGACGUUCAGGCACGAAAGCGUGGGGAGCAAACAGG